rnacentral:rRNA from 1 species
AGAGUUUGAUCAUGGCUCAGAAUAAACGCUGGCGGCGUGCCUAACACAUGCAAGUCGUACGAGAAAGCCUGUUUUCGGACGGGCGAGUAAAGUGGCGCACGGGUGAGUAACGCGUAGGUAACCUGCCCCUGUGUUCGGGACAACAGUGCGAAAGCGCUGUUAAUACCGGAUGUGGCCAAGGAGCGGUGGCCCCUUGGUCAAAGUCGGCCUCUCGAAGAAGCUGGCGCACGGGGAUGGGCCUGCGUCCUAUCAGCUAGUUGGCAGGGUA